ensembl:lncRNA
CUCCAGUGUUCUUGCCUGGAGAAUCCCAGGGACUGGGGAGCCUGUUUCCGGCCACAGAUGCCUUGCCUUGUCCACUAGAGACUUCCUGAACUUCGGAUACUGCUUACCUGCCAGGUGCUCCCAACUCUACCAGACCUGGCUGGUCUCCCCAUCCUUCAUCACUCUCCUCCAACUUCCUAAUUCAAGACCUUCCUGCACUUGAAGGAUGCCACCCAGUUUAUGGUAGAAGUCUGUCUCAGAGGAGGAGAGCAAGCUUCGGGGAACUCUGCCUGCAGAGAUGGACAAGCUCUGGAUCUGAAGGCAUUCCCUAAAGCAACACCAGCCCCUUGUUUUCUGCCGACCUGGCCUAUUUGGAGCAAAUUACUUACUGUUCUGUCUGUCCAGCUUGGAACUGAGAAGUCCAAAGGGAUGGAGAGAGACAGACAGGAAGGAUCCGUGUCAGGAGGCAGGCAAUUUAGAUGAACUCUUUUGCCUUGUUCUCUCUACCCUCACCCCCAUCCUAGCCCCAACAGAUAGCUAGCAGAGCCCUAGGUCCCUGCCCACUACCCCUAUUAAUGGAAGCCUAAUGUACUUGGGCAAAUCUCCCAGCUCUCCAAGUCAAUUUCCCUUAUGUAGACUAGAGA